CCUGUCCUUGGGAACGUGGGAGGGGGAUGGCUGAGUGAGGCGAGACCUUGGAGGACUUAAGUCUCCGAAAAAGUGAGCUCGGGGAAACUGAGAGGAAGGGCUUCACGACGUAAAGGCAGCUCCCACCGGUGUGCCCGAAAGCGAAGUCAGGGAUGGAGCGAGGGUGUGCUGAUCGCUCUCCAACCCCUUUUCUGGUUAAACUUCUUGGGCCUGGCUUUCCUCCGCUGGGAAGGGAAACAUCAACGCCGACGUUGUUUUGCAAUGAAACUAGAGCGAAAUAAAAGUGUCAGCAGAGUUGUCGGCUUGGAGACAAGCCAAGGUCGCCAAAGAUGAUUUUCUGUAUUUAUUUUUAUUUUUAUUUUUAUUAUUUAUUUAUUUGCUUAGAAACUAAAGUUUAAGCCAAAGACCCACUCCUGAAGCUAAGGUAGAAAACAGCUGAUGCCCAGUGUUUAGGACCAACCUCGGUCCUAGCAGCCCUCUGCCGCUGGCUAAAGGGACAUUCCUUCUGACUGGCUUUCCAGCCCUGGGUAGCGAAGCCACUGCACGGCGGACCUGGGGCUUCAUUCUUCAUCCCCUAUACGAACAAGGAGAAAGGUCUGCCACCAAAAGCAGCAACACAGUCACCUUAACCUCCGGGGAGUCUCAACGCGCUGGGAAACCAGUGCAGAGUUAGACAGAGAGAAAUGAGUGAGUCCCACUUGCCUUGGGCUCCCGCGACCCGUCUGAGCGCCACGCUGUGACCCCGGGUCUAAACACAGGCAGCUUCCAUUCCACAGACGUUGAUGGAGAUGUGUGCCAGUUGGUUGCAGGGGGUGCAAAGAUGGAUACCUCAGGUCUCCUGCCCUUGAGGAGCUUGUGGUCGGGGGAAGAGAUUGAUGCUGCAUAAUAUCGCCUCGUUAUUCAUGUUUAAAAGCUCUGGAAGCAUUGCUUGGGGCAGAAAUAACUGUAUAAGAAGCACUGUCAAUGAUACUGGAGAACAUCUGUGCAGGAGAAUGCGGGGAAACACACCCUUGGGGCAUCAGCAUAACGGCAGAUGUCUUUGGAACUGGGUUGUGGCUAUUCUGCUGUCUUUGGUCGGAAUUAGCCGGUGCUGUCAGGAAAGACCCUAAGCUGUGAUGCCAGCAGUGGAUCACUUCUCUGUUAUAGCCAAAGGUGGGUUCCAUCCCUCGCACCAAGAAAAAAUAAGUCCUGACUUAUUUGCCUAACACGAAAGACCAUGCUGUCUUCCUAGCACAGUUUCCCAGCCCCCCUUCUACAAGAUGUAUGCUCUCACCAACUGGAUUAUUCAUUGUUUGUGGUGCAGAUUCUGCUCCAGCCCCAAAUACCAUAAAUGUUUAUUCAGCCAGAAUUCCAUUUAGUCAAUCUCUAUGACCAUUAAACAGCCACAGGGACAUAACCAAAGUCCAUGUUGUUCCAUUCUUUAACAUGCCUCACGUUGAAAGUCCUCUUCUUAAGUCUGGGUGGGCUGUGGGGAUUCCCUUUCUAUGAUCAGAAUGCAUCAGAAGGGCUGUUAUGUAAAGUCUAAAGUUUUGCCAGAAAUGGCCAUGUAGCUUGCGUCUGCUUUUCUUGGAGUGCUUGUGCUGGGGGAGGUAGGUACCACACAAGCAUAGAUGCUCUGAGACUACCAUGCCGGAAAGACCACAGACAUGCAAUCUGGUGAGAAGUCUGGCUCCUACAUAACUGCCAGGAAAGGAGGGGGCACCCGAGAGUGACUGCAGCCCCAUUACUUUUCCAGGA